UGAACGCUGGCGGCGUGCCUAAUACAUGCAAGUCGAGCGAACAGACGAGGAGCUUGCUCCUCUGACGUUAGCGGCGGACGGGUGAGUAACACGUGGAUAACCUACCUAUAAGACUGGGAUAACUUCGGGAAACCGGAGCUAAUACCGGAUAAUAUAUUGAACCGCAUGGUUCACUAGUGAAAGACGGUUUUGCUGUCACUUAUAGAUGGAUCCGCGCCGCAUUAGCUAGUUGGUAAGGUAACGGCUUACCAAGGCAACGAUGCGUAGCCGACCUGAGAGGGUGAUCGGCCACACUGGAACUGAGACACGGUCCAGACUCCUACGGGAGGCAGCAGUAGGGAAUCUUCCGCAAUGGGCGAAAGCCUGACGGAGCAACGCCGCGUGAGUGAUGAAGGUCUUCGGAUCGUAAAACUCUGUUAUUAGGGAAGAACAAAUGUGUAAGUAACUAUGCACGUCUUGACGGUACCUAAUCAGAAAGCCACGGCUAACUACGUG
rnacentral:rRNA from 1 species